rnacentral:rRNA from 1 species
GACGAACGCUGGCGGCGUGCUUAACACAUGCAAGUCGAACGGAAAGGCCCUGCUUUUGUGGGGUGCUCGAGUGGCGAACGGGUGAGUAACACGUGAGUAACCUGCCCUUUACUUUGGGAUAACUGCAGGAAACUGGGGCUAAUACCGGAUAGGAGCUCCUGCUGCAGGGUGGGGGUUGGAAAGUUUCGGCGGUUGGGGAUGGACUCGCGGCUUAUCAGCUUGUUGGUGGGGUAGUGGCUUACCAAGGCUUUGACGGGUAGCCGGCCUGAGAGGGUGACCGGCCACAUUGGGACUGAGAUACGGCCCAGACUCCUACGGGAGGCAGCAGUGGGGAAUAUUGAACAAUGGGCGGAAGCCUGAUGCAGCAACGCCGCGUGCGGGAUGACGGCCUUCGGGUUGUAAACCGCUUUCGCCUGUGACGAAGCGUGAGUGACGGUAAUGGGUAAAGAAGCACCGGCUAACUACGUG